CCUACGGGAGACAGCAGUGGGGAAUAUUGCACAAUGGGGGAAACCCUGAUGCAGCGACGCCGCGUGAGUGAAGAAGUAAUUCGUUAUGUAAAGCUCUAUCAGCAGGGACGAAAAUGACGGUACCUGAUUAAGAAGCCCCGGCUAACUACGUGCCAGCAGCCGCGGUCAUACGUAGGGGGCAAGCGUUAUCCGGAUUUACUGGGUGUAAAGGGAGCGUAGACGGCAGUGCAAGUCUGGAGUGAAAGGCGGGGGCUCAACCCCCGGACUGCUCUGGAAACUGUACGGCGGGAGUGCAGGAGAGGUAAGUGGAAUUCCUAGUGUAGCGGUGAAAUGCGUAGAUAUUAGGAGGAACACCAGUGGCGAAGGCGGCUUACUGGACUGUAACUGACGUUGAGGCUCGAAAGCGUGGGGAGCAAACAGGAUUAGAUACCCCGGUAGUC
rnacentral:rRNA from 1 species